UACGGGGGGUGCGAGCGUUGUCCGGAAUCACUGGGCGUAAAGGGCGCGUAGGUGGUUUGAUAAGGGUGUGGUGAAAGCCCGGGGCUCAACCCCGGGUCUGCCGUGCCGACUGUCAAACUCGAGGGCUGUAGAGGCAGACGGAAUUCCGGGUGUAGCGGUGGAAUGCGUAGAGAUCUGCAAGAAUACCCGUGGCGAAGGCGGCCAGUUGGGCCGGUUCUGACGCUGAGGCGCGAAAGCGUGGGGAGCAAACAGG
rnacentral:rRNA from 1 species